AUACUUACCUGGCGUAGAGAUAACCGUGAUCAACAAGGAGGUUUCUCCAGGGCGAGGCCUGUCCAUUGCACUACGGACGGGUUGACCUUUGCGAAUAUCCCUUAUGUGGAUAUCUCGGACGUAUUAUUUUUGGUACCCUUAAGUCAUUAUGAGAAAAU
rnacentral:snRNA from 1 species